GGGGCGGCGGCGAUGGGGGCGGGGCUCAGAGGUGGCGGCAGGGGCCGGCCGGCUGCCCGCCCCUAAUGGGCAAAGAGGCGAUUCGUAGGGAGAAGGCCUGGGGGAAGACGGGUGGGGGCUGCGCCCUGGGGGCGCUCAAUGGCGGGCAGCCCCUUCACAGGCUCUCCUGCCCCUAGGAGAAGCUGGCACUUUCUACAUGGACUGGCUCAGGCAAAAGCAUUUGAGGAGUCCUAGAGCUAUGACUUCUUCACCCAGGAUUCUGCCCAGAUUGAAACAUCUUAUCUUGAAAACUAAUGGAAGACAAUACAUGUUUAAAGUAUCUUCAUUUCCACCACCUUGCUUCUGUACCUAAACUUACCACCUGCUUUGUCUAGUCAAGCUUUAAAGAUCUUAUUUCCAUCUCUUCACAACUUUGGGAAGGUGUUGCAUAUGUCAUUUUAUUGCUGUUGGCUUCAUGAAUCUGCAUAUGGCUCAGUGCUUGGAGCUUUUUCAAACAGCAGCCAUCUGGAAUAAGAGCAGAACUUUUGUAGCUUUUACUGUUGCUAUUCAGAAUCCAAUCCUAUCCCAUCUGUAGUAGUGGAACUGACAAGAACUAUGUCACUUUAACCCUGCUACUUGGAAAAAUCCUGAGAGGCAGCAAAAGAAACUACUGGAGAGGGAAAUUCAGAGUAUGAAGGAAGGUGGAGGAUAGACUGGUAGAACAACUUUAAGGUUAGGGGCUGGUAGACAGAAUGCUCCUUCUUUUGCAGGGGGAAUGUAUGGAGAGGGGGCUUCAAAGCUGUCAGAUACUUACUAGCAAGAGGCUGACAUAAAAGAUGGAGCCCUUGAGUAGGUUAAAGGGACAACACCAUGGUAGGAACAUGAUAGCACAGUUUCCCUUUCCAGCAAGUUGGGAAGGGCAGUUGGCUUUUCACUAGAUCAUUUAAGUUGGGCAGUUGGGCUCCUGUCCUUUUAUUUUGGACUCUGUCUAGUGAGUUUAAUCUUUUGACUAGUUGGUAGCUGGUAAAUUUUUCAAACCCUGCUUUAAAACUUCAUCCCAUUGCUUUAACAUCACUGACUCAGUAUUCACUGUAUUCCCACUUUUCUGAUGGAGAAACUGAGGCAGAAUGUCACGAAUUGUGAUAUCACACAGUGCUUGCUGGAACUUGUGUUGAUUUGUGACUAUUAAAACUGCCAGUAAAACUGUACAAUGAUAUCUUGCCUUUGCACAAUAUAGAUAAUGCUACUGAAAUUUCAUUUUAAAGGAUACUGUUAGCUGGGGUGUUUAAAAAAACACUUUUUAAAAUUUCCAUUGUAUAUAGUUGCAUCUUAAAGGCUUGAAAAUACUACUUUCCCUAUCGUUUAGCAAAGGUUUUGGGGGUUUUUGUCCCAUUUCUCAAUUUAACUGUAUUUUGGUUAAAGUUAUUUAAAAUAUGAAUUUUUGUUUUUAGUUCCAAACUACCAGCGGGCGGGGAGUGAAGGCACUUCUGAUUGUCAAUGGACAGUUAAGACUUCAAAUUUGUCUGUCUGACAAAACAUGGUUGUCCCGGUUUUCAAGCUUUGGUCUAUUUCUUUCGGGUAAAUAAAAAUGAAAGAUAGUUGCUGCUGUAACUGUCUAAAUGUAUUUCUCCAUGUUCAUUUUUGUACCUAAAUCAGAGAUUUCACUUUAUAAGUAAUAGAGUACUCUAUUCACACUCACAGUACUUGCUUUUUGAGUACGAGAUGAGUUUUCUGACCAUUCACAAGUAAUUUUGCUAAAUAGGUUGUUAGAAUGAAUUUUAAAAUGGGCCUUUUAAAAAUACCAGUACAUAUCUUGCCUUUCUUUGGUCCAAACAUUCUUAACAAUUGAAUUAGGGACUUUUCAGACUUUUCAUAUAGUUAAAACUCACUGAAUACUUAUGUGUAGGCUACAUUUGAAAAAAAUUGGGUUGUAAUUCAGCAAAGUUGAUGGUUGUAUCUAGCCUUUAAUCAUCAGUAUAGUUAGGGCCAAAUUCGUAGGUUGGGGAGACAAUGAGGGGUGGGGGACAGAUGGGGGAAGAGGGCUGUGUUAGACUAAGGCCUUGUCUACAGAGUUUUUUCUGCUUUAAUUGAAACGGCUGUUGCCUGUCCACACUAGCUCCUUGUGUUGGCAGAGUGCAUCCACGCUAACAGCUCUCGCAUCCACACAGAGAGCAGUGUACUGUGAUAGCUACCCCCACUGUGCAACUAGCUGCAGGGUGCUUUGGGAAGGGUUUGCAGUGCCUCAUGGGGCAGGUACAGCAUCAUAUGAUGAAGGUUUCUCAAUCCCAUUGUUCCAGGGGCAUUCUAGUAGAUUGUCAGCUGCUUUUUCAGAUGAAGUGUGUGGGGGAGGGAGAGCAGAGCCAUGUGUCUGAGGUGGGGGAGACAGCAGGCUGACUUAUCCUGAGGCAGGGAAAGGUGGACGCCACCACCCCACGUCAGCCCCCAGCUCUGGUUGGCACAGCACUCUCUCCUGCAGCAGCCUACUCUGCCUGCCUAUGGUUCUGUGAUUCUCUCCAAGUUCUGCCACAGUGGCAUUCUGAGCAGCUGUGUGAGCUCUUCCUCCUGAGGAAUAUGUCACAGUAGCACAGCAGUCCUGUCCCUGCAGUAGCAGUCUGCCUGCUGCUGUGUUCCUAGUGCAGGGUAGAACAGGAGCAUUCCACAUCAAUGAUUUGCUCUUUGUUUCCCCAAAGGGUGCAGCAUGCACAGCUGUUAGAUACUUCCUGGAGCUGUGAGAGGGGAGGGGCGCAUGCCUGCGGAGCAGCAGAGAUCAAAACAAUGAGCCGAGCGGUCAUGGCAGGCACUGUGGAAUAGUGGUGGCAGGCACUGAGGAAUACUUGUGGAAGCCAGUUAUGUCAACGAAACAAACAGCAGUGUCUACACUGAUGCUUUGUUGCUUUAAUUUUGCCGCAAAAAGCUUUAUGCCCCUUGUUGAGGUGGUCUUAUUUUGUCUGCAAAACUGCAGAGUUUUGCUGCUAAAAGUAGCUUUUUAGUGUGUACGCCUCCCCUGUUUUGCUUUUGCCAACAAAACUUUGUAGUGUAUACAAGGCCUAACCUAAUGUGAUGGGGGAUACAGCCUGGUCUAUCUGCUCAUAUCUCUGUACUUCAAGGGCUCCUCCUGCUUCAGUUCCCCUAACUGGGCCACCUAGGUGCAAAAUGGAGUUGAGGCAGAAGUGUUGUGGGGAGCCUUUCAACUACUGAUGCUAAGCCAGAUCCCAGUCUGAUUCACAGGCCCCUCUUAUAUAGAGAAACUUCGGUAGUCUCCGCUUCUUUGCUGUGAAAGUCUCAGUCAGUUACCUUGCUGCCCAGUCUACCACUGAGCACUGAUAGAAAAUCAAAUUUUAAAAAGUAGUGAUGUCUGUGUCCUUACUAUUAGGACGGUCAUAUUCCAGAGUUUCAUAUUUUGGUUUGCUUGCCAAAAUAUCAGCAUGUGAAUACAUAUGAACUGCCAGAAAGUUGAACUACAAGCCUAGAGAAAUUAUUUUAACCAAAAACCACAAUCAACAGUGCGUGGGAAGUGUUGGGACUAACUUUUGAGGCACUUGGCAAAGGCAGUGCUGUUCUGCUUCACUUAGUCCAUUGACAAUAGGAAAUGCCAUAUUAGAGACAAGCAUUGUCUAUGUGCCCCUACCACACCUUACUUAAUUGACAUUAAACAGUUUUGCUGUGUGUACUUUUAUUUAAUUAUUGCUAUGUGCUUUCCAAACUGAGGAGGAGCUGAACAGCCCCUACCCUGAAAAGCAUACACCCUAAAAACAUAAAAGCAGUGAGGGAUACAACAUAUGAGCAAAGUAUUCAUACGGUGAUAAGUCCACUGCUUAUUAAAAAUCCUGAACAAACUUUUAACUGAAAUUAAACAUGGUAGGUUCCUCCCACCCAUCACUCCAUGUAUGUCUGAGCUGUUCACUUUAGAUAAAUAUAUAGGAAUUAGUCAGCUACGUUCUUGUAUGUGUCUCAGAAGAAGUAGAUCUUUAAGAGGGAUUUAAAGGAGAAGAGGGUUGCAGUACGGGUACAAAGAAUCUGUUAGGGGCCUGACGUCAGGUGAUGUUGAACAUGCUUUUUGUAAUGCUGUAAAUUACAUUUUGGACCUAUCUACGCUAGUAGCCAAACAGUUUUCAGCACAGGCAGGGGUGUGUGUGGGCUGGUCCUGUUAGUGGUCAUUACAGCAGUGAGUCACUUUCUCAUUAUUUAGAAGGACCCUUAGUGCAUGGAAGAUUUGACAGAGACCCAGAAAUUAUGCCUCACAUUUGUCAGCUUGAUAAAGUUUUGUGGACUGUGACAUAUUAUGAAGAAAUGGGAGAGCAUUACAACCCCUCCCUCUCAUAGAUUAACUUUAAAAUACCAACUGAUCCCUGGGUACAUUCUGUUCAAGCUGGUCUUCCCCCAUGUGACUCAGUAUUGAGCAAAACUAUCUCCUAAAAUCAGUUUGUCCUUAACUGUCUAGUAUUGGCGCUAUAUGGUUCAUCCUUCAAAUCUUUACUCUUGACUAUCCCUUCACAAAUGUACAUCCUAAGAAUAAAGGACUAUGACUUUCAAUAUAGGGAGCAAAGGUGACAAAGCCAAAAGGCUCAGCUUGUGACCAGCUACCACUAAAAUCAAUUAACCUUGCCACUCUUGACGAUCAGAACUCUACUCAGCAAGUACACGGAGGAUAAGAGUAGCCAUGUUCAAAUUUGGGGAAUGGUAUCUAUGGUGUUCUCAGUGAAGGGGCCCUGGCUGUGAACUAACAUGCACCAGAAAUUAGGUUGAGCUUGUGUCCUGAGACAGCUGAGGCAUGUUGCUAUACUUUGUUUUUCUGUAAGCCCUGCUAUUAUUAAGGAGCCUUAGGCCUUGUCUACAUUACACAGUUUUGUCAACAAAAGUCAGCUUUCAUUGACAAAACAGUGGAGGUGUACACACUGCAAUGCUCCUUCUGGCAAGAAAACUCUCCUGCUUUGCCAACAAAAUAAAACCACUUUGCUGAGAAGCAUAGAGCUUUUUGCAGCAGUUAUAUCAACUAAGUGUCAGUGUAGACACCGCCUUUGGUUAUGUUGCUCUAAUUGCCUCCAUGAGGUGUCCCACAAUGCCCAUCGUGACAACUGGUCAGCAGUUUGAACUUUGCUGCGCUGCACCUAGGUACAAAGGUAUCCACCCUUCCCCCUUUUAAGGCCCAAUAAUUUUUUGAAAUUCCACUUCCUGUUUGCUCCCUAUGGACAGCUGAAUGCAUCUUCCCAGCUGACCAUGGGGGCUCCAUGCAGCAAAUGCUCUCCAGCUAUGCUUUAGCUGUAGGAACUUCAAUACUUUUGGUCAGAUUUCAUGUGGCUUGUUGGACAAGAGUUACGAAUGGGACACAUAUCAGUGCUGUGGUUUUGUGAAGCUUUUCUUUUCAUACAAAACUUAAAUCGGGGGCCUAAGCUGCCUGACCAUCUGAUCUAACUCUGCAUGGCUUUUCUAUAGUUAAGUGUGCAAAGGUUACAUUUUUAUUGGUAAAUGUCAAUUUCACCAUCCACACACAAAAAUGACAAAAAUUGGUAAUUGAAAUGUAACAAAUAGGCAAUGUAAGAAAAAUGCUGCUUGCAAACUUAUUAGAGUUUGAUUUAAGGAUAUCUACUUUGUAUAUUUUGGCAUGUGAUGUUGACAAUUUGUGUUUUAAUGGUUAUAAAGCUUUUACUUUUUGAA